rnacentral:rRNA from 1 species
GAUGAACGCUGGCGGCGUGCCUAAUACAUGCAAGUCGAGCGAACGGACGAGAAGCUUGCUUCUCUGAUGUUAGCGGCGGACGGGUGAGUAACACGUGGAUAACCUACCUAUAAGACUGGGAUAACUUCGGGAAACCGGAGCUAAUACCGGAUAAUAUUUUGAACCGCAUGGUUCAAAAGUGAAAGACGGUCUUGCUGUCACUUAUAGAUGGAUCCGCGCUGCAUUAGCUAGUUGGUAAGGUAACGGCUUACCAAGGCAACGAUGCAUAGCCGACCUGAGAGGGUGAUCGGCCACACUGGAACUGAGACACGGUCCAGACUCCUACGGGAGGCAGCAGUAGGGAAUCUUCCGCAAUGGGCGAAAGCCUGACGGAGCAACGCCGCGUGAGUGAUGAAGGUCUUCGGAUCGUAAAACUCUGUUAUUAGGGAAGAACAUAUGUGUAAGUAACUGUGCACAUCUUGACGGUACCUAAUCAGAAAGCCACGGCUAACUACGUGCCAGCAGCCGCGGUAAUACGUAGGUGGCAAGCGUUAUCCGGAAUUAUUGGGCGUAAAGCGCGCGUAGGCGGUUUUUUUAGUCUGAAUGUGAAAGCCCACGGCUCACCGUGGAGGGUCAUUGGAAACUGGAAAACUUGAGUGCAGAAGAGGAAAGUGGAAUUCCAUGUGUAGCGGUGAAAUGCGCAGAGAUAUGGAGGAACACCAGUGGCGAAGGCGACUUUCUGGUCUGUAACUGACGCUGAUGUGCGAAAGCGUGGGGAUCAAACAGGAUUAGAUACCCUGGUAGUCCACGCCGUAAACGAUGAGUGCUAAGUGUUAGGGGGUUUCCGCCCCUUAGUGCUGCAGCUAACGCAUUAAGCACUCCGCCUGGGGAGUACGACCGCAAGGUUGAAACUCAAAGGAAUUGACGGGGACCCGCACAAGCGGUGGAGCAUGUGGUUUAAUUCGAAGCAACGCGAAGAACCUUACCAAAUCUUGACAUCCUUUGACAACUCUAGAGAUAGAGCCUUCCCCUUCGGGGGACAAAGUGACAGGUGGUGCAUGGUUGUCGUCAGCUCGUGUCGUGAGAUGUUGGGUUAAGUCCCGCAACGAGCGCAACCCUUAAGCUUAGUUGCCAUCAUUAAGUUGGGCACUCUAAGUUGACUGCCGGUGACAAACCGGAGGAAGGUGGGGAUGACGUCAAAUCAUCAUGCCCCUUAUGAUUUGGGCUACACACGUGCUACAAUGGACAAUACAAAGGGCAGCGAAACCGCGAGGUCAAGCAAAUCCCAUAAAGUUGUUCUCAGUUCGGAUUGUAGUCUGCAACUCGACUACAUGAAGCUGGAAUCGCUAGUAAUCGUAGAUCAGCAUGCUACGGUGAAUACGUUCCCGGGUCU